UGUUUAUUCAACUAGCAUAUAACGAACAGUAGAAAACUUUGCAAAAAUCAAUCAUGCAAUGUCUAUCCUGUAAAUAUAUACAGUAUU